GCUGGCGUAGCUCAGUUGGUAGAGCAGCUGAUUUGUAAUCAGCAGGUCGCAGGUUCAAAUCCCGUCGCCAGCU
rnacentral:tRNA from 1 species